rnacentral:rRNA from 1 species
UACGGGGGGGGCAAGCGUUGUUCGGAAUUACUGGGCGUAAAGGGCUCGUAGGUGGCCAACUAAGUCAGACGUGAAAUCCCUCGGCUUAACCGGGGAACUGCGUCUGAUACUGGAUGGCUUGAGUUUGGGAGAGGGACGCGGAAUUCCAGGUGUAGCGGUGAAAUGCGUAGAUAUCUGGAGGAACACCGGUGGCGAAGGCGGCGUCCUGGACCAACACUGACACUGAUGAGCGAAAGCCAGGGGAGCAAAGCAGG